rnacentral:rRNA from 1 species
ACGACGCUGGCGGCGUGCCUAAUACAUGCAAGUCGAACGGUCUUUCUAUGGAAGCUUGCUUCCACUGAGAAGAUAGUGGCGAACGGGUGAGUAACACGUGGGUAACCUGCCCAUAAGAGGGGGAUAACAUCCGGAAACGGGUGCUAAUACCGCAUAGUUUUCUUGAUCGCAUGAUUGAGAAAGGAAAGACGGCCUUUGUGCUGUCGCUUAUGGAUGGACCCGCGGCGUAUUAGUUAGUUGGUGAGGUAAUGGCUCACCAAGACGAUGAUACGUAGCCGACCUGAGAGGGUGAUCGGCCACAUUGGGACUGAGACACGGCCCAAACUCCUACGGGAGGCAGCAGUAGGGAAUCUUCCGCAAUGGACGAAAGUCUGACGGAGCAACGCCGCGUGAGUGAAGAAGGUUUUCGGAAUCGUAAAACUCUGUUGUCAGAGAAGAACAAGUUGGAGAGUAACUGCUCCAGCCUUGACGGUAUCUGACCAGAAAGCCACGGCUAACUACGUGCCAGCAGCUGC